GGCAACAUAAAUUCAGUAGAAGUUCCCUCCUUAUCUUUGGUCUCAGGGGACGGGUCAACCUCCCUCACUUUCAAGGUCUAACUAACCACAGAUGGCUACACAUGUGUUGUGAAACAUUCCUGUACAAACUCAAUUAAACUACAUUUGUUAUAUGA